rnacentral:rRNA from 1 species
GACGAACGCUGGCGGCGUGCUUAACACAUGCAAGUCGAACGGUGAAGCGCCUUCCUUUUUGGUGGGUGUGGAUGAGUGGCGAACGGGUGAGUAACACGUGAGUAACCUGCCCCCUUCUUCUGGAUAACCGCAUGAAAGUGUGGCUAAUACGGGAUAUUCUGGGUCUGUCGCAUGAUGGGUCUGGGAAAGAUAUUGUUUCGGUGGGGGAUGGGCUCGCGGCCUAUCAGCUUGUUGGUGGGGUGAUGGCCUACCAAGGCGGUGACGGGUAGCCGGCCUGAGAGGGUGGACGGUCACACUGGGACUGAGACACGGCCCAGACUCCUACGGGAGGCAGCAGUGGGGAAUAUUGCACAAUGGGCGCAAGCCUGAUGCAGCGACGCCGCGUGAGGGAUGGAGGCCUUCGGGUGGUGAACCUCUUUCGCCAGUGAAGCAGGCCUGCCUCGUUUGUGGGUGGGUUGACGGUAGCUGGAUAAGAAGCGCCGGCUAACUACGU